UGAACAAUUAAACGGCCGCGGUACCCUAACCGUGCAAAGGUAGCGUAAUCACUUGUCUACUAAUUAUAGACCGGUAUGAAAGGCAUAAUGAGGGUCUCUCUGUCUCUUAUAAUAAAUCAAUUAAACUGAUCUUCUAGUAAAAAAGCUAGAAUUUACACAUUAGACCAGAAGACCCUGUGAAGCUUAAACUAAACUAUUAAACCACAUAAUACUUACUUUUGGUUGGGGCAACCUUGGAAAAAAAAAGAACUUCCAAAUACAUGACUUUAACUCACACGCGGCCCACAGGCCCACACAGACCCAGUACAACUGACAAUUGAACCAAGUUACUCCAGGGAUAACAGCGCCAUCUUCUUCAAGAGCCCAUAUCAAAAAGAAGGCUUACGACCUCGAUGUUGGAUCAGGACAUCCUAAUGGUGCAACCGCUAUUAAGGGUUCGUUUGUUCAACGAUUAACAGUCCUACGUGA
rnacentral:rRNA from 1 species